rnacentral:rRNA from 1 species
GACGAACCGUGCGAACGUUGUUCGGAAUCACUGGGCUUAAAGGGCGCGUAGGCGGGCUGUCCAGUCUGGGGUGAAAUCCCGCGGCUCAACCGUGGAACUGCCUCAGAUACUGACGGCCUCGAGGGAGAUAGGGGCAUGCGGAACUGUAGGUGGAGCGGUGAAAUGCGUUGAUAUCUACAGGAACUCCGGUGGCGAAGGCGGCGUGCUGGAUCUCUCUGACGCUGAGGCGCGAAAGCUAGGGGAGCAAACGGG